GACGAACGCUGGCGGUGUGCUUAACACAUGCCAGUGGAGCGACGAACCAGAGCUUGCCCUUGGGCAGAGCCUCGAACGGGUGAGUAACACGUGGGUAACGUACCCCCAUUACCGGGACAACCCGAGGAAACUCGGGCUAAUACCGGAUGUGCCCUCCUCCCAUGAGGGAUGCGAGUAAAGAAAGCUUCGGCCUCCGCAUCUGGGGCGGCCGGGGGACUGUUAGUUGGUUGGGGGGGUACCGGCCUACCAGGACUGCGAUAGGUAGCUAGUCUGGGAGGACGAUCAGCCACACUGAGACUGAGACACGGCCCAGAGUCCUACUGGAGGCAGCAGUGGGGAAAGUGGAGAAUUGCGAGACAUCGUGAGGCAGAACCACCGAGUGGGGGAAGAAGGCCUUCGGGUUGUAAACCCUUUUCAGGAGGGACGAAGGCAGGCAGGUGCAGAGCCGGGCCGGUUGACGGUACCUCGACAAGAAGCCACGGCUAACUACGUG
rnacentral:rRNA from 1 species